rnacentral:rRNA from 1 species
UACAGAGGUGGCAAGCGUUGUUCGGAAUCACUGGGCGUAAAGGGCGCGUAGGCGGACUUGUAAGUCGGGAGUGAAAACUCGGGGCUCAACCCCGAGCCUGCUUCUGAAACUGCGAGUCUUGAGGACCGGAGAGGAAAGUGGAAUUCCUAGUGUAGCGGUGGAAUGCGUAGAUAUUAGGAAGAACACCAGUGGCGAAGGCGACUUUCUGGACGGUUCCUGACGCUGAGGCGCGAAAGCUAGGGGAGCAAACAGG